UACGUAGGGUGCGAGCGUUGUCCGGAUUUAUUGGGCGUAAAGAGCUCGUAGGCGGUUUGUCGCGUCGGCCGUGAAAUCUCCACGCUUAACGUGGAGCGUGCGGUCGAUACGGGCAGACUUGAGUUCGGUAGGGGAGACUGGAAUUCCUGGUGUAGCGGUGAAAUGCGCAGAUAUCAGGAGGAACACCGGUGGCGAAGGCGGGGUCUCUGGGCAAUAACUGACGCCGGAGGAGCGAAAGCGUGGGGGAGCGAACAGG
rnacentral:rRNA from 1 species